UCAAAUCCAAUCACAGUUAGUGGAGCCAACGCCGCCCUCCUCCUUGCUUUCCAUCUUCGAGAAGAAGACCACCCAAAUCGAUCUCUACUGCCAUCUCUCUCUCUCUCUCUCUCUCUCUCUCAAACCCAGUUCCUAUCUUAACCUAAAGUUCCCGAUUCUCUCUCUAGGCCUUAGCCGUGCCUCAAACCCAUAUCUCAUGUCUCAAAUGAUUAAUUUUAAUUGGAAGGACCAAAGGAUGUAGAAAGGGGAUCUUGGUAGCAAAGGGGAUCUCGCUCUGUCCCUAGCAUCUGCCAAUCCCGACGGUCAGUUCGCUCUCUCCAGCUCGAAGGACGGUGAGCUUCGUCUCUAGAAGAUGGAAGCCAUCACCGAAUCUUAGGUUUCUUCUUCAAUAGAAGAAAACCCAAAGUUCCGCGGCUAUUCUGGUUUUGCCAAACCCAAAGACGAUGAGGCUGCUUGGGAUGGCGACGAGCCUGGUUGCUGGAAGCAUGUGGAUGAGGCCAAGGUUUGGUGUCUGAUGCAUUUCAUUUAACUUUUGGGUGUGGCUUGUUGACGUUUUUGAUGUUCGCAUUGGCGGCUUCUCAAAAGAAGCCUGAUGGAAUCUACACUUAGGGGUAAGAUUGUGGAGCAAAGAGGAGAGGAGCACUUGCUUGCUUGAAAGAAAAGAAGUGGAGUGAAAUGGGAGGAGAAUUUGCAGCGAAGGAGAGUGGUAAAAUUUCCUAGAGACUGAGGGGCGGGUGCGAAAAUUUCUGAUUGUGAAGUAAGCUAUUGGAUUUGAUUCUGCAUGUUGGAUCUCUGCAAUCUAUUAAUCAAUUGUUUUGAUGAGUUUUCUUCUAUUUGUUGAUAAUCUUUCGGAUUGUCAGGUUUACUUAUCGAUCAAAUGUUUAUAGAGUUUGGGUUUGUUUUGAUAAAGUUUGGGUUCCUGUUUCAUUAGACUUGAUUUGAUAUUUUUUCUUUUGGGGUUUUGUUGUUUGUCAAAUAGAGAGUAGAGGAGCUCUUGCCUGCUUGAAAGAAGUACAAGAGAGAGAGAGAGGAGAGGGGUUCUUGCUUGCUUGAAAGAAAAGAAGUGGAAUGUAUUUGAUCAUUUAGCUUUACAACUCACCUGCAUUCACAUUGGGUCGAAAUAUGCAACACGUUGAUGUUACUGGCUACUGUCUUUUACAUGAACUAUAUAGGGUUGUUCUGCAUCACCGAGUGUUUGGACCAAAAGUUGAAGUCCAUAUAUUUAGAAAGAGAGAUUUGAAUAUCUUGGUUGGCCUUAUCAGGCUAUCAGCUUCUAUCAAUUACCAUGAUUCACAAUCCUUGAUCAUUUACUUGCCGGCUUUGUAAUAUAUAGGAUUAGACAAAUUUUACAAAUAAUAUAUAGUCAUUUAGCUUUCUAUUUUCAUUUUAUCAAUUGGAUUUAUUGUAUGCAGAUUAGGUGGCAUUGGAGGUAUUGUCAAUUGUGAAGCUGCUUCUACUAACAUUCCGAUCAUCUUUCUCAGGUUGGUUGCCUAUAAUUGACAUUCCAAAAGCAGGUGAAGCUGUGAAUAGAAGUGGAUAAUGUGAGAGCCGAUGAUCUUCAUUUAAAAAAGACUUCAAUCAUAUUUGCCGGAUUUUACACAUAAUUAGAAUUCUCAUACAAAGAAAGUGUUAGUGGUUAAGUGGUUUUCUUUU